rnacentral:pre_miRNA from 1 species
UAGCUUUGUCUCAAGUCAAACUUCUUAAAUUUUGACCAGGUUUAUAGAAGAAUCUACCAACAUCUACAACUCUAAAAUAGUUAUAUUAAAUCUGUCAUGAUAUAUAUCUACCACUAUACUUAUUUGACAUUGUAGAUAUUAGUACAUUUUUCUAUAAACUUGGUAAAACUUUAAGAAGUUUGACUUAGAUCAAAGCUAG